CCUACGGGGGGCAGCAGUGAGGAAUAUUGGUCAAUGGCCGGAAGGCUGAACCAGCCAUGCCGCGUGAAGGUCAGUGCCCUAUGGGCGUUAAACUUCUUUUGUGCGGGAGCAAUAAUGGUCACGUGUGGCCAGACGAGAGUACCGUACGAAUAAGCAUCGGCUAACUCCGUGCCAGCAGCCGCGGUAAUACGGGGGAUGCAAGCGUUAUCCGGAUUUAUUGGGUUUAAAGGGUGCGUAGGCUGUGAGGUAAGUCAGCGGUGAAAUGCCCCCGCUCAACGGGGUGAAGUGCCAUUGAUACUGCCUGGCUGGAAUGCGGAUGCCGUGGGAGGAAUGUGUGGUGUAGCGGUGAAAUGCAUAGAUAUCACACAGAACACCGAUUGCGAAGGCAUCUCACGAAUCCGCGAUUGACGCUGAUGCACGAAGGCGUGGGUAUCAAACAGGAUUAGAUACCCUGGUAGUC
rnacentral:rRNA from 1 species